rnacentral:rRNA from 1 species
UACGUAGGGUGCAAGCGUUAAUCGGAAUUACUGGGCGUAAAGCGUGCGCAGGCGGCUUUGCAAGACAGAUGUGAAAGCCCCGGGCUCAACCUGGGAAUGGCAGUGGAAACUAGGGGACUGGAAUCUGGCAGAGGGGGGUGGAAUGCCGCGUGUAGCAGUGAAAUGCGUAGAGAUGCGGCGGAACACCGAUGGCGAAGGCAGCCCCCUGGGUUAGCACUGACGCUCAUGCACAAAAGCGUGGGGAGCAAACAGG